CCCUCCCGCCCGGCGCCGCGUGCCGGCGGCGCGCCGUGACCUUACCGAGCGGCGCUACCUCGCAGAAUGUCUCGGGCGGAGAAUUAAAACCUGACACCAACGCGGAGUGUUUAGCAGUCUCAGCAGUUGAAAUGAAGUGCAAAGCCACUUGCAAGAACUUGGAAGUGUCAAUGGACUUUGUGUCCAGGAGUGGAGAUCAACAAGCCUAUGACCGGUUGCACUGGUGAAGAAAGUGAUACUAAAACUAGGAAGCUCCAGAGGAAAAGAGCAUCUGAAAUGUAGAGAUGCAGAGAUCUAAGAAAAACUUUCAAAUAUACCUUGUUUGGGUUCAGUUACCGUGGAACUGGAACAUGGUGAAGUUUCAAGCUGAUAACGUGUCCCCUUGAAAUCUACAGAAGCAGGGUUUUCCCCACUACGUAGGGUAACCAUGGCUGAAAUGUGUGGGGCCAGAUCCUUUUCUCAUUCAUGAUGACAAAAAUCCAGACCUGGUGUAUUUUCCUCCUCACAGUGAAGAGAAAGAGAUCACAACAACUCUACUACCUAUCUGCAGCAAAUCCG
ensembl:lncRNA